UCCAACGUCUCUCACUAUCCCUCAACCUCUUUCUCUUUCAAUCUUGACGCCACACUUCAAUUUCUCCCUUCUCUUAAUUUCAGUUCCUUUCAUUUUCUGGUAGAGACAAAGGAGACACAUUUUAUCCGUGGACCCAAAACUCCCGUGUCAGUCACCGACUAGGGAAGGCAGCCUUCCCUUGGUGUUUAAUCAUUGCAGGGAUGCCUCUCUGAUUAUUCACCCACGUUCCAUUGGUGUCUGAUCUCCGCAGGGACGCCUGCCUUGAUCAUUCACCCACAUUCCCUUGGUGGCAAGUCAGUUGCAGGGAUGCCUGCUUUGGCUGCUCACCCACGUUGCAGCCCAGGGCUGCUCCCCACCCCCUUCUCGGUGUCUCUACCCUUCUCUUUAAACUUCCCUCCUUCACUAUAGGCCACCUUCCACGCUCCAUUCCUGCCUCUUCUCCCUUAGCCUGUGUUCUCAAGAACUUAAAACCUCUUCAACUCUCGCCUGACCUAAAAUCUAAGUGUCUUAUUUUCUUCUGCGACGCGGCUUAAUCCCAAUACGAACUCGACAGUGGUUCCAAAUAGCCAGAAAACGGCACUUUCGAUUUUUCCAUCCUACAAGAUCUAGAUAAUUCUUGUCGUAAAAUAGGCAAACGGUCUGAGGUGCCUGACGUCCAGGCAUUCUUUUACACAUUGUUCCCUCCCUAGUCUCUGUUCCCAAUGCCACUGAUCCCAAAUCCUCCUUCUUUCCCGCCCGCCUGUCCCCUCUGUCCCAACCCCAAGCGUCGCUGAGUCUUUCUAAUCUUCCUUUUCUACAGACCUGUCUGACCUCUCCCCUUCUCCCCAGGCUGCUCCUCGCCAGGCCGAGCCAGGCCGCAAUUCUUCCUCAGCCUCUGCUCCCCCACCCUAUAAUCUAUCACCUCCUCUCCUCACACCGGGUCUGGUUUACAGUUUCAUUCUGUGACUAGCCCUCCCCCACCUGCCCAACAAUUUCCUCUUAAAGAGGUGGCUGGAGCUAAAAGCACAGUCAAGAUCUUCUCGGCUUAGCGGCUGAAGACUGACACUGUCCGAUUGCCUUGGAAGCUCCCUGGACCAUCAUGGAUGCCGAGCUUCGGGUAACUCUCACAGUAGAGGAUACAGAGAGGAGUCUGGGAAGCCACAUGUUUCAGGCUUAAGUAACUUGGCGGUGACAUUUAUUGAGAUGGGAGGAAACACAGGAAGGGAAAGAGGCUGCAUAGAGGAAAAGGGUGAUGAACUCGGUUUUGGAAGCGCUGAUGUGAAGUCCCUAUGAUGAAAAAAGAAGUCUUCCGAUUUCUCCCUUUGAAGUCUUUGCUUCUUCCCUUGGAAAGAACACAGCCUAUGACAUCAGGUUGAAACCAGGAAUGUAGUUCUCUGAAAAUAUUGUGUGUGGGGGUUGGGGGAAGGAGUUUAUCUUGUCUCAUUCAUUACAAGGAUACUUUCCUCUCUGAAACCUUAGCUCCCUGAACAUUUCCUAGAUCGUCCAUCUUUUCCUCAUUUUUAGAUUGUAAGCAAUGAACUGUUAAUAAUUUUGUACAUUUUGGUUUUACAGCCACACACUUUAUUCUUCUUUGUCAAGUUUAAAGUAUUGUAGGGCUUGUGCCUUCCCACAUAAAAUUUAGAAUAAACUUGUCUAUUUCCACAAAAAGCCAUGUUGGUAGUUUGAGAGUAAUUGCAAUCAACCUAUGGAUCAAAUUGAGAAUUGUAUCCUUAUUAUGUUGAAUCUUCCAACCCACGGACAUGGUAUGUCUCUCUAUUAAAAUAGUUCUUUUUUUCACUUCUUUCUUCAGAAGUGUGUGAUUUUUUUUCAACAUACAGAUCCUAUGCAUGUUUUGUUAGAUUUAUAUUUAAAUACUUCCUUUGCUCUUAAGAGAUUUAAACUGUUAUUAUGUUUUUGAUUUCAGUUUUUACAUGUUUGUAGUUAGCAUAUGGAAAUGUGAUUGCAUUUCUCAUGUUGACCUUGUAUUCUGUGACCUUGGUAAACUCACCUAUUAAUUUUAAGAGGUUAUUUGUAUAUUGCUUGGCAUUUUCUAUGUAGAUAAUCAUGUCAUCUGCAAAUAUGGACAGUUUUAUUUCUACCUUUCCAGUCUGCAUGGCUUUUAAUUCUUUUUUUGUGUGUCUUAGUAUGAUGACUAAAAUUUCCGUGUUGAAUAAGAGCAGCAGGAACUGACACUGUUACCUUGUCCCCAGUGUUAGCUGGAAAACAUUCCGUUUUUCACUAUUAAGUAUGAUGACAGCUAUAGGUUUUGUGUACAUAUUCUCUAUCAAGUUGAAAUAGUUUGACAGGUGGGUCUACAGUCACUUUCAUUUGGACUGACCCUGACACCCAUCAGGCUCAGCAAAUUGCCUGGGCUUUUUUAGUUAUCCCCACCUGCCCAGCUUUAUUGGGCAUUACUGUUGUGCUUUAUUGGAACAAGCUAUGUAUCAAGAAUUGUGAUUUUUCUGCAGCGGUUGAUGGAGGAAUUUUGACAAAGGUAGAAGAAUCAAAGAAUGGAUUAUUGGUUCAUUUGAAAGGUGACUCAUCCUGUGUCCUUUUGCCAUCAGGGGCUCCGCUCUGCUGAUGGAGUAUUUGAGAACCUCUAUGAAUGAGCCCUGGAGAGUAAGAAAGUUCCCCCAGGUUUCUGUGUUCAUUAAACCUGUAGAACUCUUGAAACUGUGCAAGAUGAAGUAACAAUUUUGAUCAAACAGAGCUGUCGGUUUCUGUCUUCAGAUUACAGAAGUAACUCUACAAGGCCAACAUCCCAGUUCCCAUCCAGAUAACUGAUGAUGAAGCAAAGAGCUGGCUUCCCGGCCGGGCGCGGUGGCUCAAGCCUGGAAUCCCAGCACUUUGGGAGGCCGAGACGGGCGGAUCACGAGGAGUUGAAGUUAAUCGGCCUGAUCCUGUCGGAGUGGAAAGCUUCCUGUCUUCGAUCUGGGACAUUGGUCUUCUCCUGCCUCCAACUCUGACUCAGACUGGCACUUACCCCGUCAACUCUCCUGGGUCUCCAGCUUGCUGACUGCAAAACUUGGGACUUCUCAGCUUCCAUAACUAUUUGAACCAAUUCUUUAUAAUAAAAGUCUCUACAUACAUUUUAUUGGUUCUG